ensembl:lncRNA
CCCGCUCGAGCAUCAUUCAAGGUCGCAGAGAGCACACUGCUGGUCGGUGCCGGGUUGUUUCCUCUGGGAAUAGAGAGGGCAGGCAGGGCAUUCUGGCGUCACCCCAGGGUAUCAGCCGGUUCUGGCUCCUUGGCAUCAGAGCCAGACCGAGGCCCCUGCGGUGGACAAUUGGUUUCGGCACGCUGAGGAGACCUGGGAGGCAGCCCACGUUCACCUUCAACAGUGUUCGCACCAGGGGACAGGGUCUGGCUCUCGACCCGAAACCUGCCCCUUCGCCUACUCUGCCGGAAGCUGGGUCCGCGGUUUGUGGGGCCGUUUAAAGUCCUGAGGAGAGUGAACGAGGUAUGUUAUAGGUUACAACUACCCACUCAUUACCGUAUUAACC